UGAAGAUGCUGUAAUAGUGAACAUUUUCUUGAUGCUCCAAAUUAUUUUCCUAAUGUUUGCAAUAUAAUAUACCAAGUAGCUGAACCACUUUUGUCUAAAGCACUGCUCUGUGCUAUGAAUGGUCCCUACACAAUGUCAUGCAAAGAUUUAAGCUGUUAAACUGGCAGGUGAAAAGGCUGCAGCUGCUCUGGUGUAGUUUUUGGACAUCUUUUAUAAAAUGGUUUGGCAUGUAGAUGUCUUCUGUGAGCUGAAGUACAGAAAGGCUUGAUUGAUCUUUAGGGUCUCUUCCAACCCAAACCAUUCUCUGAUGAUGAUGAUACUUGCUUAUGCUUGAAGGAUACAGUAAAGAGAGAGAGAAGACUGUGGACAGACUGUGUGUGUAUGUGUGUGUAUAUAUAUAUAUAUAUUUAAGCAGGUUUUAGAAGAGGGGUACUGUUGUCCAGUGGAGAUGGGGAUUACAGUACUAUGUAUUACAGUAGCAGCUGUCAAGCAAAAGAAGCAGGGAAAUGGAUUUCUGGUUUUCUGAAUUCAGAGAUUAUUUCUGUAAAACCAUAAGGAAAGACUAAUGCUACUUUUGUAACAGAUGUGUUGUUCAGCUUGUUCUCCAUAUACUCACAGAAAAACCAGGGUGGUUCUGUGCAGUCAAGAAUACCAGUAUACUGCUUGAAAAGAAAAGAAAAAAGCUUUUGGAAACAACUGGUGCUUCUUGACUGUCCUGGAGUUUUCAGCAUCUUCAGUACUGUGUGUGAUCUUAAAGCUCUGCUUUUUUUGCUCUUGAGAGUGCAUACAUACACUGAUCACUUCCCUGAACCUUCAAGUUCAUCGUAUUGCCAAAUACUCAAAUGUGGCCAUUGGUAUGUGAUGAAAAACCCAGCUUGAUGCGGUUGCUGUGCCAAAGGGGUGACUGGCUGCUCUGCAUGUGAAGCACUGAAUUUGGCAGCCCAGCAUGUGAGCAAAUGCUUCUGAUCACCACGUGGGAGUUUGUGCCAGUCACAGGCACAAACAGGAGCAGAUGGGCUAUGUGUGCUGCUAGAAACAGUAGGAACUUUGAACUAUCCUGCUUCAUGAAAGAAAGAACUGGAGGGCCCUAAGGAGAGCCUGGAUGACUGAAGACGCCUGUUUUAAGAACAUGGGACAACCUGGAUGAAGUAUGAAACUACUUCUUUAACAAGCUGGAGAGGCUGGAGUUACUGGCUAGCUAGAGUUUGGAGCUGGCAUUGUUAUAACAUUUUUUCUAUCCCCUGUUUGUUAUUUUUCAUUAACUAAAAUAGUCAAAUACAGAAUCUGUAUGGUACCUAUA